UGCGGGGGGGGCAAGCGUUGUGCGGAAUUACUGGGCGUAAAGGGCUCGUAGGCGGCCAACUAAGUCAGACGUGAAAUCCCUCGGCUUAACCGGGGAACUGCGUCUGAUACUGGAUGGCUAGAGUGUGGGAGAGGGAUGCGGAAUUCCAGGUGUAGCGGUGAAAUGCGUAGAUAUCUGGAGGAACACCGGUGGCGAAGGCGGCAUCCUGGACCGGUAUUGACACUGAGGCGCGAAAGCCAGGGGAGCAAACGGG
rnacentral:rRNA from 1 species